GCCUGGGUGGCUCAGUCGGUUGAGCGUCCGACUUCGGCUCGGGUCAUGAUCUCGCGGUCUGUGGGUUCGAGCCCCGCAGCGGGCU
rnacentral:tRNA from 1 species